GCGUUGGGUAGCGGAGGACAUU
rnacentral:rRNA from 1 species